ACUGCGGCUUGGUUGCCUAAGAGGAGUGGCCUUAGAGGAGAGGUGAAAGGCAAGGGCGGGAAGAAUUGAGGGAGCGGGGGAGGGAAAAGAAGAAAUACUCGGUCACCAUGGUAACUUCCACUUGCUGGCAGCGUCCUUUGAGUUUGUUGCUGGAGCUGUCCUCACUGCCAACAGGUGCCGUCCUGUAAUGUAGUCACAGACGGGGAAAGCGAGACUCAGAGAUAGAGGGGAAACGACUAGUAGGAGAACUUACCGUUAGUCAACGCUCAGGCCACAUCUGAUGCCGGGCCUGGCCGCGGAUUGCCCAGGGAAGAGGAGAAGCCUGGAGUUCCGGGGACCCCUCCCAUUCUCCAUCUUUAGAGUAUUUAAAAAAAAAUAGCCAUUUUUCUUUUCUAAACUUUGGAAAAAAACACCAAAUAAAACAAGCGUUUUCACGUAUAUUGUAAGAGAUAAUUACAGAAGAAAUUGAAGCUAUUGUAUAGCCACACUACCUUUGUUUCUGAAUUUCCUUCUCUCUCCUACACAUAAGAAUAAAAACUCUUCAGAAAUUGAAUUUACCACCUCAGGACCCAAAUGAGUCUUCUUCUUGGGAGGUCUUCAAGCAAAUGUUGGUCAAUGUGUGUUCUUUCUCUGGGUGUAGCUGCUUCUGUCCAUCUUUGAUCAAUUAAAGCUCUCUUUAUCGAAGAGAUCCACUUCCAUCAAAAUAUGAAGGCCUCUCUUUGCAUUGACUCCAAUGAUGCCAUGCUAUGUCAACUAUGCCAAGGAGCCUCUGUCCACUGGAAUACUCUUUCCAGUGCCAUCCUCUCUUUGUCCUCAUUUAUUUCCCUAACCAGACUUUAUUUCUAACCUUACUUCCAAUCCCCAUAAUAAACCCUUUUUAUCAA